rfam:Salmo salar isolate Sally breed double haploid chromosome ssa17, whole genome shotgun sequence.
CCCAAUUACUCUUGUAAGUCACUCUGGAUAAGAGCAUCUGCUAAAUGACUAAAA